UUUGUUCUUCGCCAAAUAAAAUUUAGGUCUAGCUUUCUCUCUCUUUCAGACACCUCUUCGACUUCUUCCUCAACUUAAUCUUUUCGUUUAUUCAUCUAUUUCUUCAUCUUCUUCACCCCUUAUUCUUUAUUUCUUGUCCUCUCCCAAAUUUUUUUUUUUCAGAUCUUUCUUUCUUUUUCCAGAUCUCGUUGCUGCUCAUGCUCUAACGAGUAACGCCGGAGCUGUAUUUCUGGUUCUCCUACGGUUGUGAGGGUCUGAGGGAUCUCCUAUUACCGUGUCGUUGUCGUGCUUGUCGCCUUUGUCCGCUUCGGCCUCAUCACUGUCUCCUAGAUCUGUCGCCGUUUACAUAUCUCAUCCAAUUAGUCUUUUCUGAAUUCUUAUUAGUGUUUGAGAUUUUGAUUUAGGGUUCACCGAUUUGUGGUUUCAUCCACAAACUCUAAUGGGUUUGUUAAUUUUUCGUGUUAAUUUUUUUUCUAAUUCGAUUUAGUUGAGCCACGAUGAUGCUUAGUACGUCUUUGGUUCGAUCUUUGAAGGAAUUGAUGGACUCAGUGAUGAAAGGGGGGAUAGUUGGGAACAAAUACAAUUUUCUUCGACGGAGUGUUGGAUCUGAGGCUCCUGGACGGUAGAAGGGAGGAAUUUGUAAAGGGAGGAAUUUGUAACGGUGAGGAAUCGAGUUGAGGUGAAAUCAGAUUCGAGGUUAGGGUUUAAUCUUUCUACUUGUUUGGGUGAAAUCAGAUUCGCUAAGAAGCUAAGUAUUGUAUCUAACAUUGAUGUUUUUUCGUUUGAUGUGAUUCCUAAGUACGUUGGAUAUUGUUACUCCUGAAUAGAAGCCAAAAUUUGAUGCUAUGGUGAGCAAAUUGAUGAGAAACUCGAUUGCCUAUGUUUGUUUUCGUUUAAGUUUCUCUUCUAUAAGAUCUUUCAGGUGAAGUAACUUUAAAAAUAGAGUUAGGAGAGGAGAAUAUGGGGACAGAACAAAGGUUUACAUCCAUGAGAUACAAGAAUAAGUCAUUGUGAUCUUAUACAGCAUAUUAAAAAGUACAUGUUCCGUUUGUGGAAUUUGUGGUUUGUGUACAAUUGUCCAUAAUAGAAGUACCUCUCGUGGUUGGUAACAACAUUACAUUAUAAAAGAAAGUAUGGGAGACUCUGAAGGAGAAGAGAAAGAAAAUAUAAGAUGAAAAGCUAGUGAGGGUCGAGGAUAAGAGAUGUUGGCUAGCCUUGUAAAUUAAAAUGGUGUUUAACAUUAUGUGUCUACAAAUUUUGUAAUUUAAAUUUGGUUUAUGAAUGGAAUUUGUAAUACAAGUUUCAAUUUUGUCAAUAUAAAUUGAAGCUUUUGGAAUU